rnacentral:lncRNA from 1 species
GUAGAUUCAAAUAUUGUAAUUUGUUAAUCACAAAGAGUUGUGAUUGUGAGAUACAAAUUACAUCUGAUUGAAUCUUAAAUCAUCCGUGGUCGUAAGUAAUAACGAGAUACGGAUAUCGUUAUUACGGAUAGACCAUCACGUGUGGCAUUUCUUACUUGUGAAGUAAGUAGCUGAUCUCACAAGCUAAAGUGUGGUGACACUUAAAUGAACACGUGGAUGUUUUUUGUUAUAGAACAAAACAUUGGAGACCCGUCGAGAGAUUCCACAUGGAUAACUAUCUGAGUGUCAGUGGUUAAUCUCUAACGUUCGGUAGUGAAAUUGGUCCUUUUACUUGAGGUCGUCAUGGUACCUUAUAUGAGGACAGUCAUACUUUGGCGGUGUUGGAUGUUGCUCUGAAAAGGGCCGCUAAUACGACAUCGUUCGGGUACGUCAAGAAUCGUAUGAAGGUUGUGAUUGAUCAAUAAAGGAUUCGUCACUCUUAGAUAGUAGGAGAUUAUGAUCUACGUUUCAUUCAAUUAAGUCAAUGAUGAAAUCCUUGGCCAAGGUGUACU